UUUUCUCACCUAAGUUAUAAAGCAUACAUCUAUAUAUAUAAUUGGGGGUAAGACAAAGAAAAGUGAGGAUCUUGUUAAAAAAAAAAAGCCUUAUCAAUAAUGGACUUGGCUCUUUCUUUCACAACCAAAUACCAAUUUCCAUUUUCUUUCUCACUAGAGCAUCGGCCAUCCCACCCUUUCUGGACCAAAAUUAUUCCCGAAGAUCACCCUAAACAGUCUAAAAACACCAGAAACAACCGAGGUUAAGUAAGAUUUCCGUUCAAACUCCGGCGGGUUUCCGACGUUCCAGUCGAGCUUCAGUUUUGGGUUCUCUGUUCGAGUUCAAAAUUACAAUUGUGUCUGCAACUUACAAAAUUUGUAACUCAAUAUUUCGUUGGGUAAUCAUCUUUGAGGUUGGUUGCUUUUAAUCUAAUACUAAACUUCAUAGAUAUGUGACUUUAUGCUAUGUGAUUAAUGGUGUCGGAUUUUAAUUAUUGAUAGUCUUUGUUAGUUUGUUAUUUAAAUAAUGAGACUUUUAAAGAAUAUGAUAUUAUCUCACUGUGGAUGUUUUUUUUAAAAAAAGUUUGACAAAAGAAUUUUUUUUUUAAAUCCAACGUUCUUUGAAAGUUGCUAACAAGCUAUGAAUAGUAUAAAAUGAUUAUUUUUAUUGUGAUGAAAAAGGGGUUCUUGCACUAAUCUUGUCUCUGUUUCGAUUAUCCAUUCUUUAUUUUUAAGUUAGCAUUUAUUUAAAGUUGUUAAACAUAAAUAAUUAAAAACAUGUUACUAGUCAAUACCCGUUGAAUUUCAGGCGUACUGUGUGACCUAGAAGCAUGAGCUAUUUAAGAGAUGUAGGUCGUCUAUGCGUUUAAGCCAUAAAAGAAUUUGGACUAAAGAAAAUUAUGGUUGGUCCAAGAGUGAUAAAAAUAAUUUUGAAGGUGCACUCGUUGCAAUAAGUAAUAAAAUAAUAGUAAUAAUAAUAAUAAAAUUAUAUAAAUAAAUAUCUCGAAUCUGGAAGAGAUAAAACAAGUAAAAUUCUCUAAAACACUAGAAAAACUUUAGAUGUACUUUAAAUAUUAGCCCAUGUGUUCAUAUCCGAACCUUGGAUUGAUAUGCUUAAAUAAUAAAAGUAUCAUGUACGCAUUCUGCGUCUCGACAAUAUUAAAUUAAAAAUAAUUAUGUUAUAACCAUGUGUUCAUUCCAUACCUUGGUAGUUGGUUUAACAUUUAAUUACAAAAAGAAAUACCUUGUGUGCGUAUUGUAUCUGGGUCCAAGCAAUUAAUAAAAAUAUAAUAAUUGCGUGAAGUGGUAAUAGACAAGCCAUAACCAAUAAAAUACAAGAAUAGUCAAAAAUUAAUUUAAGCCUUACAUUAGUCAAUAAAAGCGAUCGUGCUACAACCGCGGGACUCGAGGGGUGUCUUAUACCUUCCCCUCGGUCAACAGAAUUCCUUACUCUGUCUUCUGUUUCGUAGACCAUAACUAAGUUUUCUGAUUCAUACCUGAACCUUGGAUUGAUAUGCCUAAAUAAUAAACGGAUCAUGUACGCAUUCCGUGUCUCAAUAACAUUAAAUUAAAAAUAAUUUUAUUAUAACCAUGCGUUCAUUCCGUACAAACGCGCCUUGGUUUAACAUUUAAUUACAAAAAGAAAUACCUUGUGUGCGUAUCACAUCUUGGUCCAAACAAUUAAAUAAAAAUAUAAUAGUUACGUGAAGUAGUAAUAGACAAGCCAUAACCAAUAAAAUACAAGAAUAGUCAAAAAUUGAUUUAAGCCUUACAUUAGUCUAAAAGUGAUCGUGCUACAACCACGAGACUUGAGGGGUGCCUUACACCUUCCCCUCGGUCAACAGAAUUCCUUACUCAGUCUUCUGUUUCGUAGAUCAUAACUAAGAGUCAAACCUUCCUUUUGAAAGGGGAUUCAAAUAAAAGGUGAUUUGGAAUACCAAAACUCAAUUCCAAGUUGAUACCACAACUUACCUCCUAACUCUAGACGCCUUCACAUCUUUAUAUUAAUUUUGCCCAGCCAUUCUUGUAAACAUGACAUAAAAUAUGAUAAGUUUUUUUUAUAAGAUUAUAAUAGGUUUCCUCUAAAAUAAAAUAAUCGUUCUUUUUGGAAUACACACUAAGAGUCAAACAUUCCUUUUGAAAGGGGAUUCAAAUAAAAGGUGACUUGGAACACCAAAACUCAAUCCCAAGUGGCGGCUCUAAGUAAUAAAUAAUCUUUUUUCAAAACGUCACUUUAAUUGGAAAAACUUUCUAACUCAACCUCGCAAUAGGGUUGUGAGAAAAAAGAGGUAUGCCAGAUAAUCAAAAAAAAUAUAAAAUUUAUAUAAUUUUUAAAUAUAACCUACAGAAUGUAUAUAUAUACAAAAAUAUAUAUAAAUUUUAUAUAUUUUUUCAGGUCUUAUUUUUACAGAGGCUAUACAAUAUCAUUUUUCCAAUUACAUUUACCGUAAAACAAGUCAAUUCUUGGUUUUUUAGUUUGAACUAUGUACAGUGACAGUAUUUAUGUAAGGGACUUUUUCCUUCUUAUACCAUAUAUGAAACCUUAUUAUAAAAAAUAUCCACAGUUUCUAAUUUACUCGUACAAGGCAAACAAAAUUUCCUACAAUUAUUAUACCAAACAAGGUCCUAGGGCUGGAAUACUCUCUUCAUUGCCUUGCUCCAGAGGCUUCUUUUCAAAAGAAUUCUGCCGAUAUUCAGGCGGUAUACUGGAAUAACCCUCUUCAAAGUUCUCCUUUUGUGGAUCUCCUUCGUCAUGGACAUAAGCCAUAGCAGAAGUACGACGUGAUUCGCUUGUUCAGUUAGGAGAUAGAUCUUCUUUGUCAGCAGAGGGUUUAGAGUUAUCAGAACAAGAUGUAUGCUCUUCACUCUCGCCAGGGUCAAGUUGAAUUCCUAUACCAGAUGCACUAUUGAUAUCCCUAACACCAGAUUGACCGCUACUACACUUGUUCUUCUUUAACAAAGCUUUCUGCCACUCCAUGAACUCAUCAUUUUCAGAUAAACUACUCUCUGAAUCAGAUGUCAAACCAUAGAGAUUUGGUGGUGGCACGCCUACUUUUCUUUUCUUUUUUAUCUGUUUUUUCCAUGUCUAUAUAUCCUUCAAUUGUUUUCUUUUUAUAUUUUUUUUUUGUCUAUAUAUGUUUAUAUAUUUAAUGAACCAUCUAAAAUUAUUGAAAAAAUAUAGAUAAAUUGUAGUUUAUUUGUAUUCUAAUUGUAGAUGCUUUGUUUUCUAUUUUCAAAAAUAAAAAACGACUAAAACUUCUACAAAUCUUCUGUAAAAAAUCAAUUAUCUCGAAAAUCCCAAUUAAACUACAAUCGAAUGGGAAUAGGGACAUUAAAAUUCAAUAUACCCAGUUUGUAGAUAUUUUGUAGAUUAUUUGUAUUGUGAUUGUAGAUCCUUUAUUUUCUGUUUUCACAAAUAAAAAAUAACUAAAACUUCUACAAAUCUUCUGCAAAAAAUAAUAUACAAUUUAUCUACAAUUUCUUCUUCUUCUUUGAGUUUCAAUCUGAAAUUCAGCGAAAAACAAGUCUAAAUCUUUACCAAAACCCCCCAAAAUUGAGAUAUAAACUCCAAACCAUAUUUCCAAUUAUUUACAACAACACACAAUCAAAACAAAUAAUGAUUUUUGAAAACCCAAAUUUAAAUUCGAAGCUUUCAAACUUUUUAAUGGCUAUCAAUGGUGGAAGCUUGUAAAAAGAACGUGGGUAUGAGUAAAAUGUGGGUGGGGCUGAGGGUUUAGGAGAGAAAAAUGUGGGAUGCGUGGAGAUACUAGAAUUAAACGAGAACUCUUUAAUUAAGAAAUAAAAAAUAUAUCAUUAAUUAUAUCCUUAAUUAAUUAUGGUAUAGAACUGGUAAUUUAGUAUAUUAAGUGUAAUUAAGUCAAACCUUAAACAUUGAGGGUAAAAAGGUUCCCUAUGUGGCAUAUGAAUAUAAAAAAUUAACAUAUGUUUUAUAUAAUUUAUUAUAACAAUUAAAAUUACACUGGUAGUAUUAUAUUUUACAUUGUCAUGGAUCGUGUUAUACAUUUAAAAAUCUAAUGUUUUAAUCCUUUGGCUCUUUGCUCUUUAUUUAACUGUUGUUGGUGAAUGCAGGUGAAUGUUUGAUAAAAUGUCCUUGUAUUAGUUUACUACAUGUAAAAUGAAAGAAAAGGGACGCGCUUGAGGGAUCAUAAGGGUCUAAUUGUAUCAUAAGGGUCUAAUUGUAUCAUAAGGGUCUAAUUGUAUGCAGCAGCUUUACGCUACAUUUUUGCGAAAAAACUGUUUUAACGGCUCGAACUCGUGACCUGCUGAUCACAUGACAUCAACUCAGUUACGCGAACGUUCCCCUUUCAUGGUUCUAUACGUCAAUACAACAUUGUUGCGAACUGAUUAGGUUUACGUAUUUUAUUGGACUUGCAUUUAGGAUGACUGCAAUUCCCAAAAGACUACUACAUAUUUUACUGGAUCUCCUACAACAAGAGAUUGCAAUCGCAUUGUUUGUACAUGCUUCAAUAGUGUGUCAAAUACUGCUCAGGCAGAUAGGAGAGGCCCCAGUGAGAAUUUAUCGUCUUGCCUACUUCAAUUCCUAACACCUCAGUUGCAACAGGUAACGCCUCAACUUUGCUUCCUUUUUUGAUGCUGUAGUAUUAAUGAACAUAUAGGUGUAGGCUCAGGUCACAAAAUAUCAUUUCUAAUAAAACUGGCAUUUCAAGCUUUUCUGCACGAAGGUGGCUAAUCUAUAUUUCAUUCCUUUCUUUCUGUCCUAUAUGUUAUGUUCGUUGAAUAGAAUAAGUAAUAAUGUAUUUACUUCCUGUGAUAAUGAAAAGCUAGUUGCUUUCUCUGUAAAUAGGAGUUUUCACUAUUCCUUGAACCGAGGGUAUCUAUCGAAAACAACCUCCCUACUUCACAAAGUAGAGAUAUAAGGUCUGCGUGCACAUUACCUUAUUCAGACUUUAUUUGUGGGUUUACACCAAGUCUGUUAUUGUAUAGUAUGAAACCUCUUAAUUCUUGAUUUUGUGAUUUUUAUCUCUUGAAAUAUAUAUAUGAGCGGGGUGGUCAAAGUGGAGGCUUGCAUCAGGAGUCCUGUGUGACAAGAAAGUUCNNNNNNNNNNNNNNNNNNNNNNNNNNNNNNNNNNNNNNNNNNNNNNNNNNNNNNNNNNNNNNNNNNNNNNNNNNNNNNNNNNNCCGGUGGAUGAGAAGAUGCGAGAAGCGAGGCUGAGGUGGUUCGGGCAUGUGCGGAGGAGAAGUCCUGAUGCCCCGGUGAGGAGUUGUAAGCGGUUGGCGAUGGUCGGCGUACGGCGAGGCAGAGGGAGGCCUAUAAGGUAUUGGGGAGAGGUGAUUAGGCACGACAUAGCUAGAAAUGCGGGUUUCCGAGGACAUGGCCCUUGAUAGGAAAGUCUGGAGGUCUAGUAUCAGGGUCGUAGGAUAUGGGCUCCUAGAGUUUUUCGUACUCCUCACCCGGGGUUGGGUGAAGCUUGGCAGGGCUAUCUAUAGAUGAUUUGUGUAUUGGAUUGUGUCCCGCUUUUGGUAGUUACUGUAUGAUAUUAUUGCAUGCUAUUUUAUUUAUGGUUCUUAUGUUUAGAUAANNNNNNNNNNNNNNNNNNNNNNNNNNNNNNNNNNNNNNNNNNNNNNNNNNNNNNNNNNNNNNNNNNNNNNNNNNNNNNNNNNNNNNNNNNNNNNNNNNNNNNNNNNNNNNNNNNNNNNNNNNNNNNNNNNNNNNNNNNNNNNNNNNNNNNNNNNNNNNNNNNNNNNNNNNNNNNNNNNNNNNNNNNNNNNNNNNNNNNNNNNNNNNNNNNNNNNNNNNNNNAUGGGUAAGGCCCGUCUACAUAUUACCCUCCCCAGACCCCACUUUGUGGGACUAUACUGGGUAGUUGUUGUUGUUGUUGUUGUUGUUGUUAUCUCUUGAAAUAUAUCUAGCCAUCUUUCCAUAGACAAUGUUUUAGUGGGCGUUUGAACAUAACAAUUGUAAUAUUCCAAAAAAAAAAAAAUCAAGUGAACAAGGUAUUUGAAAAUUAGAGUUGUAUUUGGACAUGAAUAUAAUUUUAGGUUGUUUUUGGACACAACUAGAAUUCCGGAAAAAAAUGACCAAAAAUAGCGACCAAAGUUGGUCGCUAAAUUAGCGAAAAUAAUAAAAUAAAUAUUUGAAAUAUAUUUGUCACUACCCGGAUUUUCCACCCUCGGGAGCCCUGAUGUCGCCUACUAAUGAGAACUAGGCAAACCAAACCUUACGACUUACUUCAUUUUCAUAUUACCUUUUUUAGCAAACAUAAGGCGAUAACAUAAUAACAACAAAACUUAAAUAAUUAAGCGAAAGUUAACAAUUUAAUAUCUGAGUCUACAUCCAUUGCAACUUUUAAAACCUCAAAUACCUAAAACCUAGUGUCACAGUAUCACAGACCAUCUAAGAUUUACUAUAUACAAGGUAUGAAGAAAUAAUAGUACAUUGUUUCCGAAUAGAGGGAAAUGAAACAGGAAAUAGAGAUAGAGGGAGACGCCAGGGCCUGUGGUCGCCUACAGGUCUAACUUGGGUCUUCGAGUGGACUAAAAGAAGCACUCCAACUACUGUCUGAAAUAUGCUCCGGAAUCUGCACACAGUGCAUAGUGUAGUAUCAGCACAACCGAUCUCAUGUGCUGGUAAGUGCCUAGCCUAGCCUCGGCGAAAUAGUGACGAGGCUAGGACCAGACUACCAAAUAAACCUGUGCAGUUAUAUGAUAUACAACGGAAAGUAAAGCAGAAAUAAACAAGUAAAGAUGGGAGGGGAAAACUUGCUUCAGGAAAUAAUAGGUAAAAACAAAUUAUCAUAAGAACUAUAACGAAAUCAAAAUCCAACCACUAAUAAGAAUAAGAAAAAUAAAGGCAGAUUUCACUUUCUUUUCACAUUUUGUGGUAGGCGUACCACCCACUCCCUUUUGUUAUAUCUUAUGGUAGGCGUACCACCCGCUCCCAUUUUAGAUAGUAAAUGCAAAAAAGAUAAGUAUCAACUUAAAAAAUACCAAAACAAGCUAGCAUUUUUGUCUUAAAGCGGCUGCAACUUAAAAAGGGGCGCUCAAAUAGGGCGCCCUAUGCAAUUUUUAACACAAUUUAUAAAAGAACAAAUUACAUCAUAUAUCACUUGGGCCAUACAACCUAUUCGAAAAUAGUCCAUUUGUGAAGCAUUUACCUGGCUUAGCCCAUGUUGUAUAUGUUAUGAAAGUUACUUUUCGCUCGGUAGCCCACAACUUAAAACAACGGUUUUCUUUAAUAUUUUAAAUUUCAAUUUCUCUGUUUCUCUUUCUCUCUCUUACUCACGCUUUUCUCAGACUCUCUCUUCCUCACGCUUUUCUUAGAGACGACCAUAACCAACCUCCAUUAUUGGGUUCAAGUACUUUUUCGCGCUUUCAAUCUUAUUGUCAGGUAAUUUUCGUUUCAUUUUAUGCUUUUACCACAGUUUUGGUUUUGAAUUAUUUUUUAUUUAUUUAUUUUUUUGCUUUUUCUAAUUAUGCCUAUUUUCUUACAAUGUUGACGUGUUUUUCCUUUGAUUUUGUGUUUCUUUUAUGUUCGUUCUAGGCUUAAACUUGAUAUUUUAGUUGGCAUGCUUUGUUAUUUCAACUUUUAGCGUAGAAUUUUUUAUUUCUUGAGUUUUGUUACAAUUCGAAAAAAUUAACUUCUGCUUUGUGUUCAUGGCCUUUAUUUUUGGUUCACUUUUUAGUUUUGUUUCAGUUUGAUUUUUGUACCUUUCACAUUCCCCAUACUACACUUGUUGGAAUCAAAUUGGGUUUGUUUGUUGUUGUACCUUUCAGUUUUGUCUAGAGACAAUAGUAAUAGGUACUCAGAGUUUUCAAGUUAGAGUCAACUUGAAGUUGUCGCAGUAGUUAGAGCUUGUUUGCCACAACGGAAUUAGAGUUAAUCCUAGGUUUACAAAAGAUUUUUUGUAAUAUGCAGUUUUUGGCUCA
rnacentral:lncRNA from 1 species